rnacentral:misc_RNA from 1 species
GGAAGGAUCAUUAACACUAAUCCGUUUCAACUCAACCAAGCCUUCAGUUGCAGCAGUGGCGCUUGCCUAGUGCAGUGCCGCUGGUGCAGCAAACACAAACUUAAUCACGCAAAGGAGCAUAACUAAGCUCAAAAACAAAACCAAAUUCUCAACGAUGGAUAUCUUGGUUCCCAUAACGAUGAAGAACGCAGCGAAGUGCGAUAAGCAAUGCGAAUUGCAGAACCGUGAGUCAUCAGAUUUUUGAACGCAACUGGCGCUGGAUGGAAACCCAUUCAGCAUGCUUGUUUCAGUGUCUUUUUUUCUCAUCACCCAGAUCAUAAUGCGAGAGAUACCCUUCUCUUGUUAAACAUGAAAGCACUCUGCGCUCUGCGAGCGGCUUCGACUUGUUCGAUGGUCGCACUCAAUGCAGCAGUCACAUUGCUCACAAUGUGAACUCAUUGAGAGCAGAGGCAGUGCGGGGAAACCUGCCAGUGCUUAGUCACUCAAACUUUACUUGCAUCUGAAAUCAAGCAGGAUCACCCGCUGAACUUAAGCAUAUCAAUAAGCGGAGGAGAAGAAAUUAACUAAGAUUGCCCUAGUAACGGCGAGUGAAGCGGCAAGAGCCCAAAAUGGAAAUCUAGUGCACUACGUGUACUCGAAUUGUAAUCUAAAGGAUGUUUACUCACCGGGUGGUGGCGCAGAAGUGUCUUAGAACGGACCGCCAGAGAGGGUGACAGCCCCGUAUGUGGUGCCGCUACCUAACGAGUGAAUGUUCAACGAGUCGGGUUGUUUUGUAUUGCAGCCCUAAGUGGGAGAUAAACUUCUUCUAAGGCUAAAUAUAUAUGGGAAACCGAUAGCGAACAAGUACUGUGAAGGAAAGAUGAAAAGAACUUUGAAAAGAGAGUCAAAAGACUUGAAAUCGUUGAGAAGGAAGCGGUAGAAAUUUAUUCUUCGGCGGAGGUCGGUGGUAGUUGCCUAACCAUUGCGGGUUGUCAGCACUGUCAAAAGGCUGCGGCUUGUACCUGGGGAAGUGGCUGCUUUGACCUUCGUCGUGAGGCAAAAUGAGGCCGUGCGACCGCAAAGGCUUCCUACACCUCGCUUGGUUCGCCGAGCAGUGUAGGUGUGCCGGCGGGAGUACGACCUGAGGAUGCUUUGUGCGAUUUUGCCAAAAUGGUUUUUACCGACCCGUCUUGAAACACGGACCAAGGAGUCUAACAUAUAUGCGAGUGUGCUGGUGGAGAAACCAACACGCGUAAUGAAGGUGAGCGAUGCCAAGCCGCAAGGUGGCAGCAUCGACCGACCAUGAUCCUCUGGUGAAAGGUUUGAGUACGAGCAUAUCUGUUAGGACCCGAAAGAUGGUGAACUAUGCCUGAGUAGGGUGAAGCCAGGGGAAACUCUGGUGGAGGCUCGUAGCGGUACUGACGUGCAAAUCGUUCGUCAAACUUGGGUAUAGGGGCGAAAGACUAAUCGAACCAUCUAGUAGCUGGUUCCCUC